rnacentral:rRNA from 1 species
UACGGGGGGGGCAAGCGUUGUUCGGAAUUACUGGGCGUAAAGCGUGUGUAGGCGGCCAUAUAAGUCGGAUGUGAAAGCCCUGGGCUCAACCCAGGAAGUGCACUCGAUACUGUAUGGCUUGAGUAUCGGAGAGGUUGGUGGAAUUCUCGGUGUAGAGGUGAAAUUCGUAGAUAUCGAGAGGAACACCGGUGGCGAAGGCGGCCAACUGGACGAAUACUGACGCUGAGACACGAAAGCGUGGGGAGCAAACCGG